rnacentral:lncRNA from 1 species
CUGGAUGCCUCCCCACUUCCAACAAUACAAUGGUAUAAUGAAGAAGAAAGUGAGGAUGGAUAUGAAAUAGCAACCAGCAAUCUCCACAGAAGGCUGAGAGCUCUCCAGGCCCUCAAAGGAAAUGGUUCAAAUCCAGGAUGGACAGAAAACCUGGAAAGAAAUCCCACGUGUGCGAUACCCUGCCCAGCCUUCAGCGAUGACGCUGAUGGUGGCAAAGGGUCCUGGGGGUUUAAGAAUCGCAGAUGCUGACUUCAAUACCCUCUGCCAAGGCCUUCUCUCCCAGCCUUCCCCGCAACCAAGGCCAACCACCUUUCAGCCUUGGACUGCCUCCCAAAUGCCAUUCACGUGCUCUGAGCUCCUUUUAUCACCAAAGCACCAGAAAAGUCUUGGCCAUUUCUUCAGAGAACAUUCAUCCAGUCUGGGAAACUUACUCCUUUUAUGAAUGAGGACACUGAUGUCCAGAGGAGCAGUGACUGGCCCAGGGUCUCAUGUUCCAUGGGCAGCAGAGCUAAUCCAGCACUCAGGCUCCAAGAGCCCAGCUCUCCACCCCUGUCUAUGGCCCUAGCUGCCACCAGGUGGUUCAGACCCUGGAAAGGAUGGAUAGACUAUAGUCUUCACUGUCUCAACUCAUGAUUUAUCUAAGUCUACUGGCUGGUCUGGUCCCAGUCCCUCACGGGCAAAUGGCAGAUAUAGAGAAAUUAUCAGAAAGAGAGCCCGUGAGGGCUAGUGACUGGGACCUGGAGGAGACGCUGCAGAAGAGUAUCUGACAUACAAUAAGGACUCCAUAAAUAUCUGUUGAGUUGAGUUGAAUUGAAUUGAAAUAAACACAAAAU